rnacentral:rRNA from 1 species
UAUGAGMAUGACAUUUUAUGCCUAUGUGUCUUGACCAAAUUACGUGCCAGCAGUCRCGGUAAUACGUAGAAGACUAKUGUUAUUCAUCUUUAAUUGGUUUAAAGGGUACCUAGACGGUAAAUCRAGCCUUGCCWCMAGGGACUAAUAUACUAGAGUUACRUGUGAGGGAGUUCUAAAGUACUGCUGGUGUARAGAUGAAAUUCUGUCAUACCAUUARCGAUUAMRAGCMCGGSACARGUAUARGCSAAGGCAUCUCCUUAUGUGAUMACUGACGUUGAGGGACGAAGGCUUUUGUAGCGAACAGGAUUAGUUACCCCAGUAGUCCAAGCAGAAAAUGAUGAAUGUCAUAGAUUAGAUAAAAAGAUUUAUUCUAUAAAUGAAAGUGUAAGCAUUCCACCUCAAGAGUAAUUUGGCAACAUUGGAACUGAAAUCAUUAGACCGUUUCUGAAACCAGUAGUGAAGUAUGUUGUUUAAUUUGAUGAUCCGCAAAGAACCUUACCACAACUUGAAUAUUUAUAUUUUAAUAUAUUUACAAGCGUUGCACGGCUGUCUUCAGUUAAUGUCGUGAGACUUUGGUUAGUUCCAUUAAAUUAACGUAAACCCUUACUUUAUUUUUAUAUAAAGUGGUUCCCCGCUAUAUUGGAUAUGAUAACAGGGACUAAGACAAGUCAU